rnacentral:rRNA from 1 species
GACAGAGGGUGCAAACGUUGCUCGGAAUUACUGGGCGUAAAGCGCGUGUAGGCGGUCACGCAAGUCAGGUGUGAAAGCCCAGGGCUCAACCCUGGAAAGUGCACAUGAUACUACGUGGCUGGAGUACUGAAGAGGAGAGCGGAAUUCCCGGUGUAGAGGUGAAAUUCGUAGAUAUCGGGAAGGAACACCAGUGGCGAAGGCGGC